CCAGCUUCCCCGUGCCGGCCAUUUGAAGGCUGUCACAGGGAUAAUUAUAGCCCCCAAACAGAGCUGGUGACUCCAGGUAGCCAUGGCAACGGUUGGGUACCACCAGCUCUGUUGUAGAGAUGUGUAAGUACAAACAGACGGCAGUUUCCUCCCAUUAGCUUAAAUGGUAAAACUUAAAAGUUUCAUCAACUUCAAAGCCACAGGUCUCCACGAGCCUGCCUGUUAAUGGGGCACCUGCCAAGGGCGACAGCUUCAUAUUAAACACUUUCGCAUCAGGAAUGAGCUGAUGAGGUUUUAAACACUCAGGCUGUGUCCAACAACUUGGGAGCCUGGAGACGGGAGAAGAGCUGGGGAUGCGGGUUUGGGUUCCAGCUCCGCCGAUUACCAGCCCUGGGUGGCGGGGGUGUGACCUCUCCAAGUCUUCGUUUCCUUACAGCCCAGAGGAGUAAAAAGCAGCCCCACCCUGUGGCCCCUCAGGUUGGUCUGAGGGUCCCAGGAGGCACAGGCAGGAGCGCGUUGGAAAACGGCGUUGCCAGCGCUGUGGACAUAAAGCAGGACCUACUGGUGCUGAUGUUUCCGGGGGGGUGUUGUGAAGAUGUAAUCCUGCCCAAGGAGGCACGCUGUAGACUGCAAAGUCCUGUGUGGAUGGAAGGAAGGGCCUGCAUAUACCUUGAUCCUGGCACUAAAUAAAUUAUUGUAACUUUAUCCCUCUUGCUUAUCUCCCCAAGGAGACUGUGCGUUUCUUAAAUACAG
rnacentral:lncRNA from 1 species